rnacentral:rRNA from 1 species
CCUACGUGAGACAGCAGUGAGGAAUAUUGGUCAAUGGUCGCGAGCCUGAACCAGCCAAGUAGCGUGAAGGAUGACUGCCCUGCGGGUUGUAAACUUCUUUUAUCAAGGAAUAAAGUGAGGCACGUGUGCCUUUUUGUAUGUACUUUAUGAAUAAGGAUCGGCUAACUCCGUGCCAGCAGCCGCGGUAAUACGGAGGAUGCGAGCGUUAUCCGGAUUUAUUGGGUUUAAAGGGAGCGUAGAUGGGUUGUUAAGUCAGUUGUGAAAGUUUGCGGCUCAACCGGAAAACUGCAAUUGAUACUGGCAGUCUUGAGUACAGUUGAGGUAGGCGGAAUGCGUGGUGUAGCGGUGAAAUGCUUAGAUAUCACGAAGAACUCCGAUUGCGAAGGCAGCUUACUA